CACUGGCGUCAGGAUGAACGCUGGCGGCGUGCCUAACACAUGCAAGUCGAGCGAUUACUUCGGUAAAGAGCGGCGGACGGGUGAGUAACGCGUGGGUAACCUGCCUCAUACACAUGGAUAACAUACCGAAAGGUAUGCUAAUACAGGAUAAUAUAAGAGAUUCACAUGGAUUUCUUAUCAAAGCUCCGGCAGUAUGAGAUGGACCCGCGUCUGAUUAGCUAGUUGGUAAGGUAAUGGCUUACCAAGGCGACGAUCAGUAGCCGACCUGAGAGGGUGAUCGGCCACAUUGGAACUGAGACACGGUCCAAACUCCUACGGGAGGCAGCAGUGGGGAAUAUUGCACAAUGGGCGAAAGCCUGAUGCAGCAACGCCGCGUGAGUGAUGAAGGCCUUCGGGUCGUAAAACUCUGUCCUCAAAGAAGAUAAUGACGGUACUUGAGGAGGAAGCCCCGGCUAACUACGUGCCAGCCGCCGC
rnacentral:rRNA from 1 species